rnacentral:rRNA from 1 species
UGGGGAAUAUUGGACAAUGGGCGAAAGCCUGAUCCGGCAAUGCCGCGUGAGUGAUGAAGGCCCUAGGGUUGUAAAGCUCUUUUACCCGGGAAGAUAAUGACCGUACCGGGAGAAUAAGCCCCGGCUAACUCCGUGCCAGCAGCCGCGGUAAUACGGAGGGGCUAGCGUUGUUCGGAAUUACUGGGCGUAAAGCGCACGUAGGCGGCUUUGUAAGUUAGAGGUGAAAGCCCGGGGCUCAACCCCGGAAUAGCCUUUAAGACUGCAUCGCUUGAACACGGGAGAGGUGAGUGGAAUUCCGAGUGUAGAGGUGAAAUUCGUAGAUAUUCGGAAGAACACCAGUGGCGAAGGCGGCUCACUGGACCGUUGUUGACGCUGAGGUGCGAAAGCGUGGGGAGCAAACAGGAUUAGAUACCC